rnacentral:rRNA from 1 species
AUUGAACGCUGGCGGCAGGCCUAACACAUGCAAGUCGAACGAGUGGCGGACGGGUGAGUAAUGUCUGGGAAACUGCCUGAUGGAGGGGGAUAACUACUGGAAACGGUAGCUAAUACCGCAUACCAUCGGAUGUGCCCAGAUGGGAUUAGCUAGUAGGUGGGGUAAAGGCUCACCUAGGCAACGAUCCCUAGCUGGUCUGAGAGGAUGACCAGCCACGCUUGAACUGAGAAAGGGUCCGGACUCCUGCGGAAGGCUGCAGUGGGGAAUAUUGCAAGAUGGGCGGAAGCCUGAUCCAGCCAUGCCGCGUGUAUGAAAAAGGCCUUCGGGUUGUAAAGUACUUUCGGCGGGGAGGCGUUACACGCAGAAGAAGCACCGGCUAAAUCCGCGCCAGCCGCCGCGGUAAUUC